rnacentral:rRNA from 1 species
GACGUAGGGCGCGAGCGUUGUCCGGAUUUAUUGGGCGUAAAGAGCUCGUAGGCGGCUUGUUGCGUCGGCUGUGAAAACCCGCAGCUCAACUGUGGGCUUGCAGCCGAUACGGGCAGACUGGAGUACUGCAGGGGAGACUGGAAUUCCUGGUGUAGCGGUGGAAUGCGCAGAUAUCAGGAGGAACACCGGUGGCGAAGGCGGGUCUCUGGGCAGUAACUGACGCUGAGGAGCGAAAGCGUGGGGAGCGAACAGG